UACAGAGGGUGCGAGCGUUAAUCGGAAUUACUGGGCGUAAAGGGCAGGUAGGUGGAUGUUUAAGAGAGAUGUGAAAUCCCUGGGCUUAACCCAGGACGUGCAUCUGAGACUGGACAUCUAGAGUAUAGGAGAGGAGAGUGGAAUUUCCGGUGUAGCAGUGAAAUGCGUAGAUAUCGGAAGGAACACCAGUGGCGAAGGCGGCUCUCUGGCCUAAUACUGACACUGAACUGCGAAAGCGUGGGGAGCAAACAGG
rnacentral:rRNA from 1 species